rnacentral:rRNA from 1 species
AACGAACGCUGGCGGCAUGCCUAACACAUGCAAGUCGGACGAGACGUUCGGGUUUAGUGGCGCGAGGGUGCGUAAAGCGGUGGAACCUGCCCUUUGGGUCGGAAUAAAUCGCCGAAAGGGGUGCUAAUACCGGCUAAUGUCGUCGGACCAAAGAUUCAUCGCCUUUGGAUGGGCCCGCGUUGGAUUAGCUAGUGGGUAGGGUAAAAGCCUACAAAGGCGACGCGCCAUAGAUGGUCUGAGAGGAUGAUCCGACACACUGGGACUGAGACACCGCCCAGACUCAUACGGGAGGCAGCAGUGGGAAAUAUUGGACAAUGCGCGAGAGUCUGAUCCAGCAGUCCCGUGUGAGUAAAGAAGGCCUUAGAGGUGUAAAGCUCUUUCCCCCGGGAAGACAAUGACAGUACCGGGAGAAUAAGCUCCGGCUAACUCCGUG